rnacentral:rRNA from 1 species
UACGUAGGGUGCGAGCGUUAAUCGGAAUUACUGGGCGUAAAGCGUGCGCAGGCGGUUUUGUAAGCCGGAUGUGAAAUCCCCGGGCUUAACCUGGGAAUGGCAUUUGGGACUGCAAGGCUUGAGUGCGGCAGAGGAGACUGGAAUUCCUGGUGUAGCAGUGAAAUGCGUAGAUAUCAGGAGGAACACCGAUGGCGAAGGCAGGUCUCUGGGCUGACACUGACGCUCAUGCACGAAAGCGUGGGGAGCAAACAGG